AUGGAUAAGUGUUUAUUGUUCCAUCUAAAUACAGGUGGAUUGUUCAAAGCUGCUUGCAUCGUAGCCAUGGCGGAAACACCAUCACUUCCACCUCCUUCAAAAUCAUCGCUCUUAACCUCCAAUCUAGAGUAUACUUUCUUGAAAUUCUACCUCGUUGCCAUUGUUUUCUUUGAUAUUGGUGGAGAUUUGAGCGAUUUCAAUUCUUCGGCAUCGAUUUCAUGCCAUGCUUUUUGGGCUAAUAAAUGGAGGGGGUAUCUAGUAGUUUUGAUCUUUCAUUUAAUUAUAAGUUAG